UUUCCGCAGGUGAACCUGCGGAAGGAUCAUUAUUGAAUAAACUUGGUUAGGUUGUUGCUGGUCCUUAGGGGCAUGUGCACGCCGAAUCCAUUUUAACCACCUGUGCACCUUGCGUAGAUCUGAUAAUCUCGAGGAAACUCGGUUUGAGAAUUGCUGUGCAAACGGCUCUUCUUGUAAUCAGGUCUAUGUUUCUAUAUACCCCACACGAAUGUAUCAUGAAUGUCGUAAAUGGCCUUUGUGCCUUUAAAAACAAAUACAACUUUCAACAACGGAUCUCUUGGCUCUC
rnacentral:misc_RNA from 1 species